UACGUAGGGUGCGAGCGUUGUCCGGAAUUACUGGGCGUAAAGAGCUCGUAGGUGGUUUGUCGCGUUGUUCGUGAAAACCUGCAGCUUAACUGUGGGCUUGCGGUCGAUACGGGCAUCACUGGAGUUCGGCAGGGGAGACUGGAAUUCCUGGUGUAGCGGUGAAAUGCGUAGAUAUCGGAAGGAACAUCAGUGGCGAAAGCGACUUCCUGGACCAGUACCGACGUUCAGGCACGAAAGCGUGGGGAGCAAACAGG
rnacentral:rRNA from 1 species